rnacentral:rRNA from 1 species
ACGGAGGGUGCGAGCGUUGUCCGGAAUCACUGGGCGUAAAGGGCGCGUAGGCGGCGCGGUAAGCGGGCGGUGAAAGCCCACGGCUCAACCGUGGAGGGUCAUUGGAAACUGGGGGACUUGAGUGCAGAAGAGGAAAGUGGAAUUCCACGUGUAGCGGUGAAAUGCGUAGAGAUGUGGAGGAACACCAGUGGCGAAGGCGACUUUCUGGUCUGUAACUGACGCUGAGGCGCGAAAGCGUGGGGAGCAAACAGGA